rnacentral:rRNA from 1 species
UACGGGGGGGGGCAAGCGUUGUUCGGAAUUACUGGGCGUAAAGGGCGCGUAGGCGGUGCGGUACGGUUUCGGUGAAAUCCCUCGGCCCAACCGAGGAACAGCCGGAGCUACGGCCGGACUAGACGGCAUCAGGGGACAGUGGAACUCCCGGUGGAGCGGUGAAAUGCGUAGAUAUCGGGAGGAACGCCGGUGGCGAAAGCGACUGUCUGGGGUGCCUGUGACGCUGAGGCGCGAAAGCCAGGGGAUCAAACGGG